AACGAACGCUGGCGGCAGGCUUAACACAUGCAAGUCGAGCGCCCCCGCAAGGGGAGCGGCGCACGGGUGAGUAACGCGUGGGAACCUGUCCUGUAGUGGGGAACAACCCCGGGGGAAACCCGGGCUAAUACCGCAUGAGCACCGCGAGGUGGAAAGACUUCGGUCGCUACAGGAGGGCCCGCGUCGGAUUAGCUAGUUGGUGGGGUAACGGCCUACCAAGGCUUCGAUCCGUAGCUGGUCUGAGAGGAUGAUCAGCCACACUGGGACUGAGACACGGCCCAGACUCCUACGGGAGGCAGCAGUGGGGAAUAUUGGACAAUGGGGGCAACCCUGAUCCAGCCAUGCCGCGUGAGUGAUGAAGGCCUUAGGGUUGUAAAGCUCUUUCGGCGGGGAAGAGUGAUGACGGUACCCGCGAGAAGGAAGCCUCGGCUAACUCCGUGCCAGCAGCGCGGUAAU
rnacentral:rRNA from 1 species